rnacentral:rRNA from 1 species
CCUANGGGGGGCAGCAGUGGGGAAUUUUGCGCAAUGGGCGAAAGCCUGACGCAGCAACGCCGCGUGGAGGAUGAAGGCCUUCGGGUCGUAAACUCCUGUCAGCAGGGACGAAUGCUUCGCAAGAAGUUUGACUGUACCUGUUGAGGAAGCCACGGCUAACUCCGUGCCAGCAGCCGCGGUAAUACGGGGGUGGCAAGCGUUGUUCGGAAUUACUGGGCGUAAAGGGCGCGUAGGCGGCAUUACAAGUCAGAUGUGAAAUCCCUGGGCUUAACUCAGGAAUUGCAUCUGAAACUGUUUUGCUUGAGUCCUGGAGGGGGUAGUGGAAUUCCCAGUGUAGCGGUGGAAUGCGUAGAUAUUGGGAGGAACACCUGCGGCGAAGGCGGCUACCUGGACAGUGACUGACGCUGAGGCGCGAAAGCUAGGGGAGCGAACGGGAUUAGAUACCCCANUANUC